AUUGAACGCUGGCGGCAUGCCUUACACAUGCAAGUCGAACGGCAGCACGGGUGCUUGCACCUGGUGGCGAGUGGCGAACGGGUGAGUAAUAUAUCGGAACGUACCUUAUUGUGGGGGAUAACGCAGCGAAAGCUGUGCUAAUACCGCAUAAUCCCUUAGGGGGAAAGCGGGGGACCGUAAGGCCUCGCGCAAUUAGAGCGGCCGAUACCUGAUUAGCUAGUUGGUGGGGUAAAGGCUCACCAAGGCGACGAUCAGUAGCUGGUCUGAGAGGACAGUCAGCCACCCUGGGACUGAGACGCGGCCCAGACUCCUACGGGAGGCAGCAGUGGGGAAUUUUGGACAAUGGGGGCAACCCUGAUCCAGCAAUGCCGCGUGAGUGAAGAAGGCCUUCGGGUUGUAAAGCUCUUUUGUCAGGGAAGAAACAGCAGCUCUAACACAGUAUGCGAAUGACGGUACCUGAAGAAUAAGCACCGGCUAACUACGUGCCAGCAGCCGCAGUAA
rnacentral:rRNA from 1 species